rnacentral:rRNA from 1 species
UACGGAGGGGGCAAGCGUUAUCCGGAUUUACUGGGUGUAAAGGGAGCGUAGGCGGCUUAGUAAGUCAGAAGUGAAAGCCCGCAGCUCAACUGCGGGACUGCUUUUGAAACUGUGUGACUGGAGUGCAGGAGAGGUAAGCGGAAUUCCUGGUGUAGCGGUGAAAUGCGUAGAUAUCAGGAGGAACACCGGCGGCGAAGGCGGCCUGCUGGACCGCGACUGACGUUGAGGCUCGAAAGCGUGGGGAGCGAACAGG